CAUUACAGGGCCAAGCAGAGAAAUCGGUGGAUGAAUUUGCGGUGGUGGCGCCGGUGACACGGCUGGAGACUCCGGCGAAGUGCAAAUCCCCGCCGAUCGCGCCUCCGCCUUGUCUGCGUUUUGCUCAUCGCGCUUGCCCGAGAGAAACCCAGUCAAUGCCGAAAUGACAAGAUUGAUUCAAUGGUUGAUUCAAGGGGCCACACAGUGAGCACAGAUGUUGUAUUGAAAAGAAGCAACAUUUAGAUUCACCAUCCAUAAACUAAGCCAACAUGCAUGAUUUAACUUAAUAGAUGCCAUUUAUUAGGAAUGCAGGACAACAGUUUUCAAAUCAUGGUCAAUUAUAAAUAAAUCUCUAAGAAUAAAGGAACAACCAUAUUAUACAAAGUAUGUUUCCAACAAAAUCUGUUUAAUAAAAAAGCCCAUACCUCC